rnacentral:rRNA from 1 species
CCUACGGGGGGCAGCAGUGGGGAAUUUUGGACAAUGGGGGCAACCCUGAUCCAGCAAUGCCGCGUGUGUGAAGAAGGCCUUCGGGUUGUAAAGCACUUUUGUCCGGAAAGAAAUCCUUUGGGCUAAUACCCCGGAGGGAUGACGGUACCGGAAGAAUAAGCACCGGCUAACUACGUGCCAGCAGCCGCGGUAAUACGUAGGGUGCGAGCGUUAAUCGGAAUUACUGGGCGUAAAGCGUGCGCAGGCGGUUUUGUAAGACAGGCGUGAAAUCCCCGGGCUCAACCUGGGAAUGGCGCUUGUGACUGCAAGGCUAGAGUGCGUCAGAGGGGGGUAGAAUUCCACGUGUAGCAGUGAAAUGCGUAGAGAUGUGGAGGAAUACCGAUGGCGAAGGCAGCCCCCUGGGACGUGACUGACGCUCAUGCACGAAAGCGUGGGGAGCAAACAGGAUUAGAUACCCCGGUAGUC